rnacentral:rRNA from 3 species
GGAUGCGAUCAUACCAGCACUAAAGCACCGGAUCCCAUCAGAACUCCGAAGUUAAGCGUGCUUGGGCGAGAGUAGUACUAGGAUGGGUGACCUCUUGGGAAGUCCUUGUGUUGCAUUCC